CCACCAUGUGUUUGUUGGUCCUGGGAACUCAUUUCCUUGCUGAGACUUGCUGAGAGAAAGAGAAGAAGUUUUAGGAAGAACAGACCAUUUGUACAAAAUUGGGAAUGGCCAAUCCUCCCUCUGGUUUUAACCCAAGGACCAGUGGAUGACUGUCUCCCAUAUGAAAUCCUCUGAGCUCAUGUGUUGGACUCUGCCAGGACGUAGAGAAAGGGGCUGGAAAGAGAUGACAAAGAUUACUGUAUGUCAAAUUUAAUCAUAAUGCCGUCAGCUGUUCCCAUGGCUCAACUCCAUUUAUCCACUCCACUGAUUUCUCCUUCACUCUGGCUAAGUCAUCAUUUCCUGCAGGGGAUUUGACAGACUAAUUCCAGAGCUCCAGUCCCAGAAAAGCAGCAAAACCAGGCGGGUG